rnacentral:rRNA from 1 species
GUAGGUGGCAAGCGUUGUCCGGAAUUAUUGGGCGUAAAGCGCGCGCAGGCGGUUCUUUAAGUCUGAUGUGAAAGCCCACGGCUCAACCGUGGAGGGUCAUUGGAAACUGGAGAACUUGAGUACAGAAGAGGAAAGCGGAAUUCCACGUGUAGCGGUGAAAUGCGUAGAGAUGUGGAGGAACACCAGUGGCGAAGGCGGCUUUCUGGUCUGUAACUGACGCUGAGGCGCGAAAGCGUGGGGAGCAAACAGGGAUUAGAUACCCUGGUAGUCCACGCCGUAAACGAUGAGUGCUAAGUGUUAGGGGGUUUCCCGCCCCUUAGUGCUGCAGCUAACGCAUCAAGCACUCCGCCUGGGGAGUACGGCCGCAAGGCUG